CCCUUAGAUGUUCUGGGCCGCACGCGUGCUACACUGAGUGGAUCAGCGGGUCAGGUUGCGCGAAAGCGUUUCCUAAUCUUUAAAUCCGCUCGUGAUGGGGAUUGACGGUUGCAAUUUUCUGUCAUGAACGAGGAAUACCUUGUAAGCGCGGGCCAUCAUCCCGCGCUGAAUACGUCCCUGCCCUUUGUACACACCGCCCGUCGCUCCUACCGAUUGAACGUUUUAGUGAGGCAUUUGGACCGACGCAUCUCAGUUUAACCGCUGGUUUGUGUUGGAAAGACUUCCAAACUUGAGCGUUUAGAGGAAGUAAAAGUCGUAACA
rnacentral:rRNA from 1 species